AUAUUGUGUGACAAGCAAGAGUUAGCACCUCCCUUAACUAGGAUAGAAGAAGCUCUAUGACCUAUAAAACAUACAUAUAAGUGAAGGAAUUGCCCCCUACCUUAUGUUAUCUAUCCAUCAUUUUUA
rfam:Otolemur garnettii contig136247, whole genome shotgun sequence.